UACAGAGGUCCCAAGCGUUAUCCGGAUUUAUUGGGUUUAAAGGGUGCGUAGGCGGCCUAUUAAGUCAGGGGUGAAAGACGGUAGCUUAACUAUCGCAGUGCCUUUGAUACUGAUGGGCUUGAAUGUACUUGAGGUAGGCGGAAUGUGACAAGUAGCGGUGAAAUGCAUAGAUAUGUCACAGAACACCAAUUGCGAAGGCAGCUUACUAAAGUAUGAUUGACGCUGAGGCACGAAAGCGUGGGGAUCAAACAGG
rnacentral:rRNA from 1 species